GGACCUGACUGCUAUCGGAUUGAUACUAAGCCAUGCGAGUCAUUGUAGUAAUACAAGGCAGACGGCUCAGUAACGCGUAGUCAACCUACCCUAUGGACGGGGAUAACCUCGGGAAACUGAGAAUAAUACCCGAUAGAACAUUAUGCCUGGAAUGGUUUAUGUUUCAAAUAAUUUAUUGCCGUAGGAUGGGACUGCGGCCUAUCAGUUUGUUGGUGAGGUAAUGGCCCACCAAGACUAUUACAGGUACGGGCUCUGAGAGGAGUAGCCCGGAGAUGGGUACUGAGACACGGACCCAGGCCCUAUGGGGCGCAGCAGGCGAGAAAACUUUGCAAUGUGCGAAAGCACGACAAGGUUAAUCCGAGUGGUUUCUGCUAAAGAAACCUUUUGUCAGUCCUAGAAACACUGAUGAAUAAGGGGUGGGCAAGUUCUGGUGU
rnacentral:rRNA from 1 species